AAUCCCCUAUUCCCUUCUGCCUGUUUCUCUGACCCACCCUCUUCUCACUCCUGCUUUAAACCUACCCCCCCCCCCGGUGUGUGUUUGUUCUGCUGCUUUUAUUUCUUUUCCCCCUGAGAGAGUGAGUGUCUCUCUGUUUCCCCCUCUCCUCUGGGCCAAGGGGGCCCAGGCCCUUUGGCCUGUGGCCUCUCUCUGGCCUAUCUCCCUAACCUAGUCUCCAUUUCCCCCUGCCUUUUUUUGCUUUUGGUGGCUGCUGCUUUUAAAUCUGUUGGCUGAGUUGAAAUAGAGAGUGUGUGUAUGUGUGUCCUCCUCCUCAGCUCAGCAGCCACUGCCAGUUGUUUUUAUUUUAUUCUGGGUUCUUGGGGGUGGGGGUCCUUGUUUUCUCUGGAGCAGGUGCUUUUCUUUGUUAAUCCUUUUCUUGCUGUGCUUAGCACACCACCUGUUCCAGAAUCCAGCACCUCUCCGUCCUCCCCUCCCCUCCCCUUCCCCUCCACCACUUCCCCAACCCUAUCCGCACAGCUUUUUCCUCACCAGCCUUUUAAUUUAUUUUCUCAGUGUUUUUACAUUUAAUUUGUUUUGGGGGGUGGGUGAAAUAGCUGGAAAGCUUUUCAUUCUGCCCUACCCCCGCCCCAGCUGUGCCUGCCCACCCGCGCUGUGCCUGCUGCCACUGGUCUGGAUUUCCUUCUUUUUUUCCUCCUGACCAGUGUGUGGGGCAGAAGAUCUCCAGGACAAUGAGGGGACUUGUAAGUAAUCUUCAGUUUGCUACUUUCAUGAAAACUAAGAUUGGUAAUGGACAGACUAACUGGUUUCAGUCGUUAAAGAACUACCAGGAAAGCUGAAGUUCUCCUGCUGGGAAUGAGCACCACUCUUGGGAGAUUCGGCUCACUUUGAAGAAGCCUGGUUACUCACUACUGAACUUCUUACUAUCACUGAUACAGAGCUGGGCAGCAAGAGCGCCCGGCUGAAGGAUGAUCCCUCAAUGCAAGGUCCUCCUGGUGCAGUGCACUGAAGGAUGCCAGAGGACCUACUCCUCCAGCUCCCUGUUCUGCUGCUUGCCAUGGUGCUGCUUGUGUGCCACGCGAGCGGCACAGCCUGUCAGAAAAAAUCAACCAUGCGCAGGGAGGCAGGCAGGAACCUGCCUCCCCA